rnacentral:rRNA from 1 species
CGCAUCUGUGCAUGCAGCAUAUCAAUAAGCGGAGGAAAAGAAACUAACAAGGAUUCCCCUAGUAACGGCGAGUGAAGCGGGAAGAGCUCAAAUUUGAAAUCUUAAAGGGUUUCCCUUUACGAAUUGUAGUUUAAAGAAGUGUUUUCUGUUGAGGUUUUGGUAAAAGUUCUUUGGAAUAGGACAUCAUAGAGGGUGAGAAUCCCGUAUUUGACCCUUUACUUUCAACUUUGUGAUACACUUUCAAAGAGUCGGAUUGUUUGGGAAUGCAGUCCAAAAUGGGUGGUAAAUUUCAUCUAAAGCUAAAUAUUGGCGAGAGACCGAUAGCGAACAAGUACCGUGAGGGAAAGAUGAAAAGAACUUUGAAAAGAGAGUUAAACAGUACGUGAAAUUGUCAAAAGGGAAGCGUUUGACACCAGUGUUGUUUUUCUGAAAAUCAAUUAAAGAACUGUUUAUGCUAAGCUGUUUAGACUUUAUCAGCUAAUCUGUUUAGUUUUGAGCUUUUCUUUAAUGCACUUUUCAGUUAACAAGUCAACAUCAAUUUCUUUUGCUGUAAAAAAGCUUGAGGAAGGUGGCUUGAGAUUCGUCUUAAGUGUUUAUAGCCUCUUGCCUAUGCAGUCGGAGAGAUUGAGGUCUGCAGCGUAGAUCCUUCGGGGCUAAAUGCAUUUGUGCUAAGUUAUAGCAUUUUAUAGACAACUUGUUGACUAUGAUUUGUCUUGUAGCUUACUCGCUUAUGUUAUUUUACCUACGCUUAGGAUGUUGAAUCUGUGCGAGACUAC